rnacentral:rRNA from 1 species
AGUGAACGCUGGCGGUAGGCCUAACACAUGCAAGUCGAACGGCAGCACAGUAAGAGCUUGCUCUUACGGGUGGCGAGUGGCGGACGGGUGAGGAAUACAUCGGAAUCUACUUUUUCGUGGGGGAUAACGUAGGGAAACUUACGCUAAUACCGCAUACGACCUACGGGUGAAAGCAGGGGAUCUUCGGACCUUGCGCGAUUGAAUGAGCCGAUGUCGGAUUAGCUAGUUGGCGGGGUAAAGGCCCACCAAGGCGACGAUCCGUAGCUGGUCUGAGAGGAUGGUCAGCCACACUGGAACUGAGACACGGUCCAGACUCCUACGGGAGGCAGCAGUGUGGAAUAUUGGACAAUGGGCGCAAGCCUGAUCCAGCCAUACCGCGUGGGUGAAGAAGGCCUUCGGGUUGUAAAGCCCUUUUGUUGGGAAAGAAAAGCAGCAGGUUAAGACCCCGCUGUUCUGACGGUACCCAAAGAAUAAGCACCGGCUAACUUCGUG